AAGAAAAUAGUUCAGAUAGGCCAUUGCUAUGUACCUCUACUUAUGUCAUUUGCAUUUUCCUUUCUUUCUAUCUUUCUUUUUUCUUUCCGUAUUAUUCUAGUGGUGCGGAGAAAUCAGGAGUUCAGGUCA
rnacentral:ribozyme from 11 species